rnacentral:rRNA from 1 species
UGGGGUGACACAGAAGGGCAGUGACGCGGGCUGAUGGAAUAGCCCGUCCAAGCAGUGAGGCUAGUGUGUAGGCAAAUCCGCACACUAUUAGGCUAGGCUGUGAUGGGGAGCGAAAAUUGCAGUAGCGAAGGUCAUGUACUCCGGCUGUCGAGAAAAGCCUCUAGCCAGGCGAAGGUGCCCGUACCGCAAACCGACACAGGUAGGCGAGCAGAGCAUGCUAAGGCGCGCGGAAGAACUCUCGUUAAGGAACUCGGCAAAAUGACCCCGUAACUUCGGGAGAAGGGGUGCCUCGGUAGGGUGAAUAGCCCGAGGGGGCCGCAGUGAAAAGGCCCAAGCGACUGUUUAGCAAAAACACAGGUCUGUGCGAAGCCGUAAGGCGAAGUAUACGGGCUGACGCCUGCCCGGUGCUGGAAGGUUAAGGGGAGCGGUUAGGGGCAACCCGAAGCUGUGAACCGAAGCCCCAGUAAACGGCGGCCGUAACUAUAACGGUCCUAAGGUAGCGAAAUUCCUUGUCAGGUAAAUUCUGACCCGCACGAAUGGCGUAACGACUUGGGCGCUGUCUCAACGAGAGAUCCGGUGAAAUUUUAAUACCUGUGAAGAUGCAGGUUACCCGCGACAAGACGGAAAGACCCCAUGGAGCUUUACUGCAGCUUGAUAUUGGACUUUGGUACGAUCUGUACAGGAUAGGUGGGAGCCUGGGAAGCCGGAGCGCCAGCUUCGGUGGAGGCGCCGUUGGGAUACCACCCUGAUCGUAUCGGAGUUCUAACCUGCUACCGUGAAACCGGUAGAGGGACCGUGUCAGGCGGGCAGUUUGACUGGGGCGGUCGCCUCCUAAAAUGUAACGGAGGCGCCCAAAGGUUCCCUCAGAAUGGUUGGAAAUCAUUCGAAGAGUGCAAAGGCAUAAGGGAGCUUGACUGCGAGACCUACAAGUCGAGCAGGGACGAAAGUCGGGCUUAGUGAUCCGGUGGUACCGAAUGGAAGGGCCAUCGCUCAACGGAUAAAAGCUACCCUGGGGAUAACAGGCUUAUCUCCCCCAAGAGUCCACAUCGACGGGGAGGUUUGGCACCUCGAUGUCGGCUCAUCGCAUCCUGGGGCUGAAGUAGGUCCCAAGGGUUGGGCUGUUCGCCCAUUAAAGCGGUACGCGAGCUGGGUUCAGAACGUCGUGAGACAGUUCGGUCCCUAUCUGUCGCGGGCGUAGGAAAUUUGAGAGGAGCUGUCCUUAGUACGAGAGGACCGGGAUGGACGUACCGCUGGUGUACCAGUUGUUCCGCCAGGAGCACCGCUGGGUAGCCAAGUACGGACGGGAUAAGCGCUGAAAGCAUCUAAGCGUGAAGCCCCCCUCAAGAUGAGAUUUCCCAAUUAGUAAGACCCCUUGAAGACGACGAGGUUGAUAGGUUCGGGGUGGAAGCGCAGCAAUGCGUGCAGCUGACGAAUACUAAUCGGUCGAGGGCUUA